GUUAUCAAUAAAAAAUCAUUUGAACAAGGCAAGCCGAUGCACUUCAAGCUAAGCAUGGUCGGGCCUGGUUAGUACUUGGAUGUGAGACUGCCUGGGAAUACCAGGUGCUGAAAGUG
rnacentral:rRNA from 10 species